rnacentral:miRNA from 1 species
GACCAACAUGGUGGUGGUGUGUAUGAUUGUGUGUGUGUGUGUGUGUGUGCGUGCGUGCACGCGCGCAUGCAUGCAAGCGCGCACACACUCA